GAUGAACGCUGGCGGCGUGCCUAAAACAUGCAAGUCGAACGCACACCUUCGGGUGUGAGUGGCAAACGGGUGAGUAACACGUGGGAACUCGCCCUCCGGUGGGGAAUAACUCUGCGAAAGCAGAGCUAAUACCGCAUAUGCUCGCAAGAGUAAAGCCUUGUGCGCCGGGGGAGAGACCCGCGUCCGAUUAGUUGGUUGGUGGGGUAACGGCCUACCAAGACGGUGAUCGGUAGCUGGUCUAAGAGGAUGGUCAGCCACACUGGGACUGCGAACGGCC
rnacentral:rRNA from 1 species